UACGGAGGGGGCGAGCGUUAUUCGGAAUUAUUGGGCGUAAAGGGCGCGUAGGCGGCUGUACAAGUCAAAGGUGAAAUCCCUCGGCUCAACUGAGGAACUGCCUUUGAAACUGCACGGCUUGAGGCCGGGAGGGGGUAGCGGAAUUCCCAGUGUAGCGGUGAAAUGCGUAGAUACUGGGAGGAACACCAGUGGCGAAGGCAGCUACCUGGACCGGUUCUGACGCUGAGGCGCGAAAGCGUGGGUAGCAAACAGG
rnacentral:rRNA from 1 species